GGAAGUAAAAGUCGUAAUAAGGUUUCCGUAGGUGAACCUGCGGAAGGAUCAUUAAUGAGUUGUCAUGGGGUUCGAUGCUGGCAGCCAAUUUUUGGAUGCAUAUGCUUGCCCUAACAAUCAUCUUCCAAACACCUGUGCACAUUUUUGAGGGAGUCUUGAGUUGGUCGCCGCUCUUGGGUGAUUUUCUCACAUUCCCUUAAAUCAUUAUACGCUAUUAACGAUGUUGAACGUGCUCUGUGCCGCAAGGCUAUUAAUAUAAUACAACUUUUAACAACGGAUCUCUUGGCUCUC
rnacentral:misc_RNA from 1 species